rnacentral:rRNA from 1 species
UACGAAGGGGGCUAGCGUUGCUCGGAAUUACUGGGCGUAAAGGGCGCGUAGGCGGAUCGUUAAGUCAGGGGUGAAAUCCCAGAGCUCAACUCUGGAACUGCCUUUGAUACUGGCGAUCUUGAGUGUGAGAGAGGUAUGUGGAACUCCGAGUGUAGAGGUGAAAUUCGUAGAUAUUCGGAAGAACACCAGUGGCGAAGGCGACAUACUGGCUCAUUACUGACGCUGAGGCGCGAAAGCGUGGGGAGCAAAC